rnacentral:tRNA from 1 species
GGGCCCGUAGCUCAGCCAGGUAGAGCGCCCGGCUGAUAACCGGGAGGUUUCGGGGGUUCAAAUCCCCCCGGGCCCACCA